AGAAUGUAUAAAGAACUACAAACCAGUAGGGAAAAAGAAUCCUUUUAAAAUAAUGGGUGAAACAAACACUUAAACAGGCAGUUCACAAAAGAAGAAAACAUUAACAAGCCAACUGUCAAAGGUGCUCACCAUCAUUACUCAUCAGGAAAAGCAAAUUUAAACCACACCAGAUACCUUUACGCAUUUUAAAAAGUUAAAAUUGAGAAUGGUGAUAUCAAAUGAUGAGAAGGUACAGAGCAACUAGAACUCUCACACAUUCCACUCUGGAAAACUGUCAGCCUACAACAGAGAAACAUGCAUCUGCCUGAUUUCUUUCCAGAAAUUCCACUCUCAGGCAUGAUAUUCAAGAGAAAUGAGUGAAUAUGUCCAUCAAAAGAGAUAAACAAAUGUAAAUAGGCAGAGUAACUUUAUUUAUAAGUAACCAAAGGUGAAAAUCCCAAAUGCUCAUCAAUUGGAGAAUGGAAAAAGAAAUUGUAGUUGCAAAAUGAAUACAAUUCUUACAUUGGACUGUGCACAG
rnacentral:lncRNA from 1 species